rnacentral:lncRNA from 1 species
GUGGUGGAUGCUGAUGUUGUUGUGUAUCUCAUUGUAUCUGCUGUCAUUCAAGCAUUUGCUGCUGUAUUUGUUAUUGUGUUUGUACCAUCCCGAUUAGGGUCUACAUGAACUGAGCCAUAUCCGAUUCUUGACGUGCUCUCGAAGUACUCCCAUUAGGAUCUACGACUUCCUCCUCCUGAGAGGUGCCACUGGUUAGAUGGGGAGUGC